GCGCCCUUAGCUCAGUUGGAUAGAGCAACAGCCUUCUAAGCUGUGGGUCGGUGGUUCGAAUCCACCAGGGCGCGCCA
rnacentral:tRNA from 4 species